rnacentral:RNase_P_RNA from 2 species
UCAGCCGGCCGGACGGCCGCUCCCGCAAGGAUCGAAAGGUCGCGGGGGAGGAAAGUCCGGGCUCCAUCGACAUACGGUGCCGGAUAACACCCGGCGGGGGCGACCCCAGGGAAAGUGCCACAGAGAACGAACCGCCUUCCCCGCCCGCAAGGGUGAGGACGGCAAGGGUGAAAAGGUGCGGUAAGAGCGCACCGCGUCGCUAGCAAUAGGGACGGCAUGGCAAACCCCACCGGGAGCAAAACCGAAUAGGGAUGGCAGCGCGAAAAGUUCGCUCUCGGGCGAUAACUUCGCAGGGCGAUGUCAGGCUCGCCGUCCGGGUAGGUUGCUUGAGGCGCAAGGCGACUUGCGUCCCAGAAGAAUGGCCGUCACGUCGGGCCGGUUCGCGCCGGUCCGGCCCUCCAGAACCCGGCUUACAGGCUGGCUGACGUC